CCUACACGACCGUACCGCAAACCGACACUGGUGCGCGAGAUGAGUAUUCUAAGGCGCUUGAGAGAACUCUGGAGAAGGAACUCGGCAAAUUGACACCGUAACUUCGGAAGAAGGUGUGCCUUUAGUAGGUGAAGUCCCUCUCGGAUGGAGCCCAAUGAGGUUGCAAAAAAUCGGUGGCUGCGACUGUUUAAUAAAAACACAGCACUCUGCAAAGACGAAAGUCGACGUAUAGGGUGUGACGCCUGCCCGGUGCUGGAAGAUUAAAUGAUGGGGUGCAAGCUCUUGAUUGAAGUCCCAGUAAACGGCGGCCGUAACAAUAACGGUCCUAAGGUAGCGAAAUUCCUUGUCGGGUAAGUUCCGACCUGCACGAAUGGCGUAACGAUGGCCACACUGUCUCCUCCAGAGACUCAGCGAAGUUGAAAUGUUUGUGAUGAUGCAAUCUCCCCGCGGAAAGACGGAAAGACCCCAUGAACCUUUACUGUAGCUUUGUAUUGGACUUUGAACAGAUCUGUGUAGGAUAGGUGGGAGGCUUUGAAGCAGGGUCGCUAGAUCUUGUGGAGCCAACGUUGAAAUACCACCCUGGUGUGUUUGAGGUUCUAACCUAGGUCCAUUAGCUGGAUCGGGGACAGUGCAUGGUAGGCAGUUUGACUGGGGCGGUCUCCUCCCAAAGCGUAACGGAGGAGUUCGAAGGUACGCUAGGUACGGUCGGACAUCGUGCUAAUAGUGCAAUGGCAUAAGCGUGCUUAACUGCGAGACUGACAAGUCGAGCAGAUGCGAAAGCAGGACAUAGUGAUCCGGUGGUUCUGUAUGGAAGGGCCAUCGCUCAACGGAUAAAAGGUACUCUGGGGAUAACAGGCUGAUACCGCCCAAGAGUUCAUAUCGACGGCGGUGUUUGGCACCUCGAUGUCGGCUCAUCUCAUCCUGGGGCUGUAGCCGGUCCCAAGGGUAUGGCUGUUCGCCAUUUAAAGAGGUACGUGAGCUGGGUUUAAAACGUCGUGAGACAGUUUGGUCCCUAUCUUCCGUGGGCGCUGCAGAUUUGAGGAAGCCUGCUCCUAGUACGAGAGGACCGGAGUGGACACACCUCUGGUGUAUCGGUUGUCACGCCAGUGGCAUUGCCGAGUAGCUAAGUGUGGAAGAGAUAACCGCUGAAAGCAUCUAAGCGGGAAACUCGUUUCAAGAUGAGAUCUGCCGGGGCCUUGAGCCCCCUAAAGAGUCGUUUAAGACCAGGACGUUGAUAGGUCAGGUGUGGAAGCGCAGUAAUGCGUUAAGCUAACUGAUACUAAUUGCUCGUGCGACUUGAACA
rnacentral:rRNA from 1 species